UACGAAGGGGGCUAGCGUUGUUCGGAAUUACUGGGCGUAAAGCGCGCGUAGGCGGUGAUCUUUGUCAGAGGUGAAAGCCCGGGGCUCAACUCCGGAAUUGCCUUUGAAACGGGAUUGCUUGAGUCCGAGAGAGGAUGGCGGAAUUCCUAGUGUAGAGGUGAAAUUCGUAGAUAUUAGGAAGAACACCGGUGGCGAAGGCGGCCAUCUGGCUCGGUACUGACGCUCAGGCGCGAAAAGCGUGGGGAGCAAACAGGG
rnacentral:rRNA from 1 species